rnacentral:rRNA from 1 species
UGGGGAAUAUUGCACAAUGGGCGAAAGCCUGAUGCAGCAACGCCGCGUGAAGGAAGAAGGGUUUCGGCUCGUAAACUUCUAUCAACAGGGACGAAAGAAAUGACGGUACCUGAAUAAGAAGCCCCGGNUAACUACGUGCC